GCUGUUUCUUUGAUUUUUUCCAGGGUGACUACAUUGUGCCUUUCUAACACCGGUACUAACUCUUCUCAUCUAGAAAGCAGAUCCUGACUUGCAAGAUGGCAAGCAGCUGGCCUUUUGGCUGGGGUCCAGGUCUGCAGCACAGAUGGGUGAUGCUGGAGUUGAGAUGGCAAAGCCUGGACUGAUGAAUGACCACGAGGUGGAGAGACACUCGGAACCUCAACAGAGAUAGAAAUAAUUGCUGUCAUGUUUGCGCAGGCUGCUGUAACAAGAUGACUGAGAAACUUCAUGAAAGAUGUUAUUUUCUCAUCGUUCUGGAGGCU